UUGAUCUACGUGUCUAUCAUGGUUAAAAAUUUUAAAUGUUAUCAAUAUGGAUCACAAGUCUACUUGCAGUGUCUGUGGUAUAUAGGCUGUAGAUGAAGAAUCCAUGUUUUGAGAUUAGAAAUAUGCUGCUUACAUUCGUUAGAUGUGUUUACUUGACUCUUGACCUAUUGUUUCACAGAAUUUGAUUCAAAAUAGAAUGGCUGGUGGGUGAUUUAUUGAUUCACAAAAUGAUUCAGUAUCUAAUACAGAAGUCAGGAAUGUCCGAAAGCCAUCGUCAUCUGCUGCUCCUGGAGGAUUACAUUCAUUGAGCAGGCUGGUCCCUCGUAACCUAUCAUCAGAUCGAAAGUCAAGUUUCUCAAUUCCCAUAUCUAGGAAAAAUGAUUACAUGUGGAAAUCUGAUGAUGAUGACGUAUCAGAUGCUUUAGAAAACAUUCAGCUUGACAGAAAAGCUCGAAAUUUGAC